UGUAUGAAGGAUUGGAUGAGAUAUAAACUGUUUCAAAAAUAAUUAAUUGAAUUUAAUUUUUUAAUUAAAAAGUUAAAAUAUGUUAAAAAGACGAGAAGACCCUAUAGAGUUUUAUAUUAAAUAAUAUUUAAAUUAUUUAUAAAUUUCAUUAAUUAUAAAUUUUAUUUAAUAUUUUGUUGGGGUGAUAGAAAAAUAAAAAAAACUUUUUUUAAAAAUAGUCAUUAAUAAGUGAAUAAUUGAUCCAAUUUUAUUGAUUAUAAGAAAAAAUUACCUUAGGGAUAACAGCGUAAUUUUUUUUUUUAGUUUAUAUAAAAAAAAAAGUUUGCGACCUCGAUGUUGGAUCAGGACAA
rnacentral:rRNA from 1 species